AUAACCCCGGGAAACUGGGGAUAAUUCCGGAUAACGCACAUAUGCUGGAAUGCUUUAUGCGUCAAAUGGAUUCGUCUGCCCAAGGAUGGGUCUGCGGCCUAUCAGGUAGUAGUGGGUGUAAUGUACCUACUAGCCGACGACGGGUACGGGUUGUGAGAGCAAGAGCCCGGAGAUGGAUUCUGAGACAUGAAUCCAGGCCCUACGGGGCGCAGCAGGCGCGAAAACUUUACAAUGCGGGAAACCGUGAUAAGGGGACACCGAGUGCCAGCAUCAUAUGCUGGCUGUCCGGGUGUGUAAAAUACACCUGUUAGCAAGGGCCGGGCAAGACCGGUGCCAGCCGCCGCGGUAACACCGGCGGCCCGAGUGGUGAUCGUGAUUAUUGGGUCUAAAGGGUCCGUAGCCGGUUUGGUCAGUCCUCCGGGAAAUCUGACGGCUUAACCGUUAGGCUUUCGGAGGAUACUGCCAGGCUUGGAACCGGGAGAGGUAAGAGGUACUACAGGGGUAGGAGUGAAAUCUUGUAAUCCCUGUGGGACCACCUGUGGCGAAGGCGUCUUACCAGAACGGGUUCGACGGUGAGGGACGAAGGCUGGGGGCACGAACCGGAUUAGAUACCCGGGUAGUCCCAGCCGUAAACGAUGCUCGCUAGGUGUCAGGCAUGGCGCGACCGUGUCUGGUGCCGUAGGGAAGCCGUGAAGCGAGCCACCUGGGAAGUACGGCCGCAAGGCUGAAACUUAA
rnacentral:rRNA from 1 species